rnacentral:rRNA from 1 species
AAAAGCAGGGGAUCGUAAGACCUUGCGCUUUUGGAGUGGCCGAUGCCUGAUUAGCUAGUUGGUGGGGUAAAGGCCUACCAAGGCGACGAUCAGUAGUUGGUCUGAGAGGACGACCAGCCACACUGGGACUGAGACACGGCCCAGACUCCUACGGGAGGCAGCAGUGGGGAAUUUUGGACAAUGGGCGAAAGCCUGAUCCAGCAAUGCCGCGUGAGUGAAGAAGGCCUUCGGGUUGUAAAGCUCUUUCAGUCGAGAAGAAAAGAUUGUGAUGAAUAAUCACAGUUCAUGACGGUAUCGACAGAAGAAGCACCGGCUAACUACGUGCCAGCAGCCGCGGUAAUACGUAGGGUGCAAGCGUUAAUCGGAAUUACUGGGCGUAAAGGGUGCGCAGGCGGCUUUGUAAGUCAG